UGUGAACGCUGGCGGUAGGCCUAACACAUGCAAGUCGAACGGCAGCACAGUAAGAGCUUGCUCUUACGGGUGGCGAGUGGCGGACGGGUGAGGAAUACAUCGGAAUCUACUUUUUCGUGGGGGAUAACGUAGGGAAACUUACGCUAAUACCGCAUACGACCUACGGGUGAAAGCAGGGGAUCUUCGGACCUUGCGCGAUUGAAUGAGCCGAUGUCGGAUUAGCUAGUUGGCGGGGUAAAGGCCCACCAAGGCGACGAUCCGUAGCUGGUCUGAGAGGAUGAUCAGCCACACUGGAACUGAGACACGGUCCAGACUCCUACGGGAGGCAGCAGUGGGGAAUAUUGGACAAUGGGCGCAAGCCUGAUCCAGCCAUACCGCGUGGGUGAAGAAGGCCUUCGGGUUGUAAAGCCCUUUUGUUGGGAAAGAAAAGCAGCAGGUUAAUACCCCGCUGUUCUGACGGUACCCAAAGAAUAAGCACCGGCUAACUUCGU
rnacentral:rRNA from 1 species